CAGUCGCCACGGUAAUACGGAGGGUGCAAGCGUUAAUCGGAAUUACUGGGCGUAAAGCGUGCGUAGGCGGUUCGUUAAGUCUGCUGUGAAAUCCCCGGGCUCAACCUGGGAAUGGCAGUGGAUACUGGCUCGCUAGAGUGUGUCAGAGGAUGGUGGAAUUCCCGGUGUAGCGGUGAAAUGCGUAGAGAUCGGGAGGAACAUCAGUGGCGAAGGCGGCCAUCUGGGACAACACUGACGCUGAGGCACGAAAGCGUGGGGAGCAAACAGGAUUAGAUACCCCCGUAGUCCCUGUCUCUUAUAC
rnacentral:rRNA from 1 species